UCUGCUGGAGCUGAGGCAAAGGCAAUAGUCGGAGGCAUCUGAUGCUGUUGUUUCCAGGGUGAAAUUUCCAAGGCUGAUCGUUUUAAAAAAAACACCCUUAACAAAAAUAGCCAGAAGAGCAGAAGAUCCGGCAUCUUCCAAUGCAACCAGUGUAACCUAGACAGACAUUUUAAAGCCAUCUGCAUUUAAACUAACCACGCACACAAAAGAGACAACACUAACGACCACCCCACAAAACAAGGCGCAAGAGACAGACAGAGCUGGAACGACUCUUUGGGAACCUGGUCCACCCAGGGAUGUAAAACUGUGCUUACCGAUGCAUCCCAUACGAAAUGCUUAUGUGAUCGCCUCUCUACCUUCGCCAUUUUGGCUCAGCAACCUAGAGAAAUAAUCAUGGAAUCAUCUGGUGCCCCCUCAGUAACCCUAAUAGUAGGCAGUGGUCUCUCAUGCUUGGCUUUGAUCACCCUCGCAGUUGUCUAUGCAGCACUAUGGAGGUACAUCAGAUCUGAGAGGUCAAUAAUUCUAAUUAAUUUCUGCCUAUCUAUUAUCUCAUCAAAUAUUCUUAUACUGGUUGGACAAACUCAGACACAUA